UGUGGACGCCAGUCUGCAUGGAGCCGACCUUGAAAUACCACCCUUUAAUGUUUGAUGUUCUAACGUGGACCCGUUACCCGGGUUGCGGACAGUGUCUGGUGGGUAGUUUGACUGGGGCGGUCUCCUCCUAAAGAGUAACGGAGGAGCACGAAGGUUGGCUAAUCCUGGUCGGACAUCAGGAGGUUAGUGCAAUGGCAUAAGCCAGCUUGACUGCGAGCGUGACGGCGCGAGCAGGUGCGAAAGCAGGUCAUAGUGAUCCGGUGGUUCUGAAUGGAAGGGCCAUCGCUCAACGGAUAAAAGGUACUCCGGGGAUAACAGGCUGAUACCGCCCAAGAGUUCAUAUCGACGGCGGUGUUUGGCACCUCGAUGUCGGCUCAUCACAUCCUGGGGCUGAAGUAGGUCCCAAGGGUAUGGCUGUUCGCCAUUUAAAGUGGUACGCGAGCUGGGUUUAGAACGUCGUGAGACAGUUCGGUCCCUAUCUGCCGUGGGCGCUGGAGAACUGAGGGGGGGCUGCUCCUAGUACGAGAGGACCGGAGUGGACGCAUCACUGGUGUUCGGGUUGUCAUGCCAAUGGCACUGCCCGGUAGCUAAAUGCGGAAGAGAUAAGUGCUGAAAGCAUCUAAGCACGAAACUUGCCCCGAGAUGAGUUCUCCCUGAGACUUAGAGUCUCCUGAAGGAACGUUGAAGACGACGACGUUGAUAGGCCGGGUGUGUAAGCGCAGCGAUGCGUUGAGCUAACCGGUACUAAUGAACCGUGAGGCUUAACCUUACAACGCCGAAG
rnacentral:rRNA from 1 species